AUUGAACGCUGGCGGAAUGCUUUACACAUGCAAGUCGAACGGCAGCACGGACUUCGGUCUGGUGGCGAGUGGCGAACGGGUGAGUAAUGUAUCGGAACGUGCCCAGUCGUGGGGGAUAACGUAGUGAAAAUUACGCUAAUACCGCAUACGAUCUAUGGAUGAAAGCGGGGGAUCGCAAGACCUCGCGCGAUUGGAGCGGCCGAUAUCAGAUUAGGUAGUUGGUGGGGUAAAGGCCCACCAAGCCAACGAUCUGUAGCUGGUCUGAGAGGACGACCAGCCAAACUUGAACUGAGACACGGUCCAGAGUCCUGCGGGAGGCAGCAGUGGGGAAUUUUGGACAAUGGGCGAAAGCCUGAUCCAGCCAUUCCGCGUGCAGGAUGAAGGCCCUCGGGUUGUAAACUGCUUUUGUACAGAACGAAAAGGUUUCUACUAAUACUAGGAGCUCAUGACGGUACUGUAAGAAUAAGCACCGGCUAACUACGUGCCAGCAGCCGCCGUAA
rnacentral:rRNA from 1 species